rnacentral:rRNA from 1 species
UACAGGGGGGGCGAGUAUUAUUCUACAUGACUGGGCGUAAAGGAUAUGUAGGUGGUUUUUUUAAUAUUAAAUAAAAAGCUAUAAAAAAUUUAUAGAUAGUUUUAAUAUAUUAUAAAACUUUGAGUUUAUAGAAGAUAAUAGAAUUCGAUAGAGUAAAUGUGAAGUGUUCCGAGACUAGGAGGAAUUCCAAAUGGCGAAAGCAAUUAUCUUGUUAAAACUGACACUAAAAUAUGAAGGGAUGGUUUAAAAGCGAAUAGG